UUUAGCAGUUGUUUAUUAAGGUUACUAGUGGGUAUAGCACUGAAUAUCCAGUUUGUAAGGAGGGAAUAUUAAUGAUGUUUUCUCGGAUAUUUAAUCUCAGAAUAAUUAGUAAUAAAAGUAAAUAAUGGGACUUCUUGCGAUAAGGUGGGAAGUCAAGAGGGAAACAGCCCANAACNGUUUUAAAGCUCCAAAAUAAAUAUUGAGUGAAAUAAAGGAAGNGGUUUCUCUGUGACAGUUAAGAAGUGGGCUUGG
rnacentral:rRNA from 1 species